rnacentral:lncRNA from 1 species
UACCAAGUGGUUAAUGUUUGUUGAUUGCAGCACCAUGCUCUGCUCUCAGUGCAGCUUUUGGAUGCAGUGUGGCGCUUCUCGGUCUCCAGGGAACUCGUGGCAUUUUGCCCAGAUGGCAUCAGCCUGUGUCUGAAGGACACAGCCCGGCGCCUACCGAUCUCCGCAGCGGGAGCCUUAGCGACAGGUGAUGCGGGGGCUCUGCUUCUGUCUCUGUUUGGGGUGGGGGGGAGCUCCUGCAAAUGCCAGGCAUCACCCUUUAAUCUAGGUGAAUGAUCCUGUACCUGGCUGUAGCCUGGGAUUCCUUUGUGUGGCGGAGAGCCAGCUGGGUGGGCUGGAUCCAGUCGCUCCGGCAGGGGAGUGUGCUCACUUGGCUCCUUCUUCUUCGACCAGCUGUGCAGGUCAAAGAAGAGUCAUCCUCCUUUAAGUGCCAAGAAGAGGCCUUCUACCUUCUGGUGCAAGAAGACAUUGAACAAGAAUUGGAAGCUAAAGCUACCAAAGAACUUGAAAGAAAACUAAGCAGAGCCACACGCUACAUGUUGUACAUUGCUGGAGAAGUGACAUGAGGGCCAAAGAGGAUCUCACAUGUUACAGUAUUUUUCACAGGUUGUGGCUUCCAGAUUCAAUUCCUUUCAAUAGAUAAAAAUAGA